CUUUAAUCAGCAAACGUCUCUUUCGCUGACCCGGAAAAACACAGAGCGCUGAGCAUCCGCGUAUUCCGAUAAAAACGAAACUUUAACAUUGGCUUUAAAAAAAUAUGUCGCUCUCCUUCGCACACUUCGCCUGCCUCUUGCCGUUUCUGCCGUUUACACAGGCAGCUUUGACUGUUACAGUUCCCGAAGGCCCAAUUCAAGGCAAACCAGGUUCUGAUGUCCUGCUGCCUUGUAAUUUUGAAGACUCUUCUGGGCCCAUACGUCCACAAAGCCUAACGGUGACAUGGCGUGUGGGUUCAAGAGACAUUGCUAAUUUUGAAGAUGAGUUGGAAAUCUUUCAGCCAGGGGUAAAGAUGUCUGCUACGGAAGUGCUACGGGGCAACGCCAGCAUUCUGCUUCCAAAUGUGCAGGACGCAGAUGGAAAGAAUUACACUUGCUCUGUUCUCCACAGCCCUGACAAGGAAGAGAAGACAAUAGAGUUGAGAGUGGAAGCUCCCCCACUUGUUAAACUUGGCUCUACAAAAGUGCAGUUGAGCAAGCUAAACAUGAUUGCAUGUACAGCAACAGAUUUCUAUCCUGGCAAUAUAUCCAUGACGUGGUUCCGAAAUGAUAAGAUUGUGCAAGGCCCCGAACGGCCUCCUGUUCAGCCCAGCACCGGCCAAUUGUUCAGAGCAGAAAGUCUCCUGAAGCUCGUACCAGAAUUUUCGGAUGCCAAAGCCAACUUCUCUUGCCAUAUCAAUCACCAAGCAUUCAAAGGGCCAGAGGCACCACAAUUCCAACUGAGCUUGCAAGCUCGGCCCAACCUUCAGCUGAUCACAAGGCCUCAAGGGGAAAAAUUUGUUGCGGCCCUGUGCAAUGUGAGCGAAUUUUAUCCCUCUCAUAUCAACAUUCAGUGGUUGAAAAAUGGAGAGCCACAAGAGCAAGUAAAGUCAGAGGUGUACCGCAUGCACAAUGGGAUGUUUUACAUCAACAGUGUCUUCUUCCCACAGAAGAGUGAUGUUGAAGUCACCUAUGCUUGUCGAGUAGAACACGAAGCUUUGGAAACCUCAUUGGAAAAGUCUGUCCUUUGGCGACCAGAAGUUACUCCUACGAUUCCAACUGCAGUGCCUCUUUGGCUGGUGUGUUUGGCUGGACUCGGUUCUGGAUUGAUACUAGGAGCAGGAAUAACAAUAUGUAUAUAUAAAGCCAAGAAUAACUCAGUUAUGGGUACAUCCGAUGAGAAAAAGCAUCUUCAAAAGAAAGAUGAGGAGAAACUACUAGACACAUCAAAACCAAGACCAGAAGAGACCAGGAGUGAAUUAAUACAUACAGAAGAGUUGGAUAAUGUGCAGGAACAACGACUUUGAAUGGGUACUAUAUACAUUCCACUGAAAAAUGUGGUCUGUGUAAAGCAAGCUACAAAUUUAUCUUCGAUGAUCUGUACAGUUCAUUGUUUCCUUCCAUGGCUUAAGGAAACCAUAAACAUGUGAAUACGAGGUAUUUGUGAAAGACAAGAAGUAGAAAUUGCUCUUUGUCAUCAGUCACAGAUUUCUACUUUUCAUUUUUUUAAAUCAAGUUGGUGUACAAAUUAUGCUGUGAAGCCAAACACUAACCCUCUCUUUUAAUUAGUUACUAGAAAAGGGGGAUGGGGGGAAAUCUUUCUUUUUUCUUUUAACUUUCUCGCUAGAUGUAUGCAAAAGAUUUAUCAAAGGAAAAAGUUCAAAUUUGAAUUACCUUAUUUUUAGGAUGAAACAAUUAUUUCAAGUGGGAAAAAGACUGCUUUGAUCAGUUUGGAAGCUUUUCC